AUUUGGGUUCUUUGAGGUGGAAUUUUUUUAAAUUAAAAAAUAUAAAAAAUGAAAAGCUUCAGUGCAUGUUGUACUAUAAACAUUUACAGGAAAUAAAUGUGGUAUUUUGUGAUCAUUGGAAAAAUGUAGUACAAAUUAAUAAGGAAUAUAAAUAUGUCCAAGAACGAUUUUCUCAUCCUCAGCAACAAUUUUCAAUCAUUGUUUAAGUCCUCAAGGAACUAACAUUUUCAAGGCAUUUUGCUGGAGGGACAUAAUUGACUGUGACACUCAAGAUGGCUACCAGGUAAGCAGUUCUUAUUUUUUUCUCCAGAUAAAAGUUAACAUUUUGUUUGUCAAAGUACCUUCACAACUUUUUAGUUCUCAUUACCGAAACAUGAGUUUGUGAAGUUUUAAAAAAUAUUGCCCUUUUAAUUUUUUGAUUGCUAUAUACCCCAUUAUGGUCUAAAUAUAAAAAGAGAGGGAAAGUUUAGCUAACCCUCAUUUAGCUUCCACAGUAAGCAAAAAUGUUUAAGGUCGCUCAUCCUCCACAACACCAUUAUCAUUCACCGCAACAAUUGAAGGCCUGUUGCGGUGAAGAUACUCAAUGUUUCAGUAAUGAGAAAAAGACUUAUGAAGGAGGACUGUGCAUUAUAACUUGAUAUUUGCCUUAACUUUUUGAACAGAUUGCCACCUACUAUAAAUGUAAUAUUUAAUUUAAUUAUUUAAUUUUUUACUGUAAAACAAUGUAUUUCUAUGUCUUUUUAAUGAAAUGUUACAUUCAAUCAAGAUGGAUAUUGUACAUUUUGUUACAGGCAAGCAUCAGUUGAAAAGAAAAGGGCAUCAGCGAAAGACAGGCUUGCAAAGUAUAGGGAAAAAAUAUACAGUAAUCCAGUGUUACUUGAGGAGUACAGAAGAAAGGAGAGAGAAAGGUAUCGGAAACGUAAAGAAAAUGGUAAAAUUAAGACUACUCAGGACCUCACAAGUAGACCGCAUGAGAGAAAAAAAAAAAAAAAGUGGAAGAAAAAUUCGGCAAAAUAUUACAGAAAAGAAAAAAGCAAGAGCAAGCACUUCUAGAUCUAACCCUUCAUUAAGUGAGACAGAAAAUUCCUUUGGAAAUGAAGAAAAUAACAGACAGGAACUAGACACAGUGUUGGGAAGGUUACUUUGGAAAUGUAAUAGGUUACAGAUUACAAGUUACCCUGUUUAAAAUGUAAUAGUACUGUAACUUUUUCAAUUACUUUAUUAAAGUAAUGUGACUAAUUACUUGUGUACUUUUUGGUUACUUUUCUAAAUUUGUGAAAAUUAAAGAAUAAAUAAAAGCAUAUACAUCAUCUUAAAUACGGUUAUCUAAUAAGCAUGUGUCAUUCUGUAUAAUAAACUCCUGAAACAUUGGUGUGUUUUUUUUUAACUACUGUCUCUUUGUAUAUGAUGAUAGUUUUCUCAAAAUAAGUAAAAUGCACAUGAAGUGACACAGAGCAGUUCUAGAAAUUAUGUUUAUGUGCUCGUGUACACCUAUAUUUAGGCAGCAGAGGUUGAAAACACUGCGAGCUUCAGUAGGCCUAUGUGUAGUAAAUGAAACCAUGUCUUUGACAUUAAUUUACAGGAGGGGCGGGCUGGGAAAAAAAUUCAGACUGGAAAAUUCAAACUCACACAAACAAAUUCAUGGACAAAACUAUUUUUUGUAUAGACCUGACAUAAAAAAGGUUUAAAUCUUUACUUUGGGGACAUGCAAAAUAAUUUAAAAGUUCUCUCCUGAACUGCACCUUCACUUCCAUUUUUCUCUUCAGUCUCUUUAUUUUGCCCUGUUAUCCAUCUCUCUCAUGACUUUAAUACUCAAGAUUGAAAAAAACUAUACUUUACAAUACUCUACAAUACUACAAUAUCUUCAUAGAAAAAUCCUAAUACUGUACACGAGUCAUGUUUUUCCCUUACAAAAAUUAACCAUGCUUUUAUUAGCCUAUAUAAAAGUCAAUUAACCUUGUUUUUUUUGCAAAUGGAUUUGUAUUUAUUUUUAAAUAAAUACAUUUGUAAAAUAAUGGUUUUGGUUACCACAGUUAAACAAAAGUAAACAUUUUCUCUCCAUUUAUAGUUAAAUAUUAAUGUUAAUUUUCAUAAGGGUUGUGUUGUUGUCUGUCUAGCUCCCCCUAAACCUAUAUAAAAAAUAAAUCUGAAUGUUUUUCAGCUAAAUUACUACUGUAACAUUACAACAGAUAAUAAUGAUGUCCUUUAUAUAGUAUUGUGAGUGAUGACUGAUGAGCAACACACUCAAAAAAAUGAAUUUCCAGUUCUGUUCACUUUACCUAAACAAUUCAUGUUGAAUUAAUGCCAUUGUGGCUAUUUUUCAUUUUAACAUGAUUGCAUCAUGUUAAACUGACUUAAAACUGUCACUCAUUGGUUUAACUUAAAGUUUUCAUUUUAAAAGUACAUGUUUCAAUCACUUAGCUCAGUCAAACCUUUAUGACUGAAUUAAAAAAUAUAUAAUAACUUACAUAAUAUAUAUGCUUUAUU
rnacentral:lncRNA from 1 species